ACGUAGGGGGCAAGCGUUGUCCGGAUUUAUUGGGUUUAAAGGGUGCGUAGGUGGCCCUGUAAGUCAGUGGUGAAAUAUCUCAGCUUAACUGAGAGGGUGCCAUUGAUACUGCAGGGCUUGAGUACAGAUGAGGUAGGCGGAAUUGACGGUGUAGCGGUGAAAUGCAUAGAUAUCGUCAAGAACACCGAUAGCGAAGGCAGCUUACCAAGCUGUAACUGACACUGAGGCACGAAAGUGUGGGGAUCAAACAGG
rnacentral:rRNA from 1 species